rnacentral:rRNA from 1 species
UACAGAGGGUGCGAGCGUUGAUCGGAAUUACUGGGCGUAAAGCGUGCGUAGACGGUAGCGUAAGUCAGAUGUGAAAGCCCCGGGCUCAACCUGGGAACUGCAUUUGAGACUGCUCUGCUCGGGUGCGGAAGAGGGAAGCGGAAUUUCCGGUGUAGCGGUGAAAUGCGUAGAUAUCGGAAGGAACACCAGUGGCGAAAGCGGCUUCCUGGUCCAGCACCGACGUUCAGGCACGAAAGCGUGGGGAGCAAACAGG